CAAGUGGUUCAUCUGAGAGGCACAUCAGAGUCCAAGAGGCCCCUUGGCUGCACUAUCCACCCGAAGGGGAAACUGAAGGAGAGAUCCAGAAAGCUGGCAGCAUGGAAGACCAGACAGGCAAGAAAGAAGAUCUGGGAAGGCAUGUGAAGUAUGUGGCCCCGAGGACCAUGGGAGGAAGGGCAGGCAAUCAAGGACUGGAGUUGGCAGACAUGGAAGCUAAUAAAGCCGUGAUUCUCCAAACUCGGGAGGUGCAGAGGAUCCUGGAGAUCCCAGGUCACGAGUCCACCCCUGCCACAGAUGUACCUCAUCUGUAUCAGCUGUUGCCAGUGGCCCUGUUUGGAUCUGGUCCUUCCUUCUGCCACCCUCCUGGGUUGGGGACAAGGCCAUCCUCCUUCAGAAAGCACCCCCCAGGGGAGCACUCCUGUGUGUACUCCUCAAUAUUACUUUGCUUUUUUUUUUUUUUUUUUCAUUUUUCAUUAGAACCAUCCUAUUAGGAAUGAAGUGGCUUCUCUUGGUUUUGACUUGCCUUUCUGUCCUGGCUAGUGAAUUUGAAUAUCUCUUUUGUACUUAUUGGCCAUUUGUAUAUCUUCCUUGGAACAAUGUCUGUUCAAAUCUCUUCCCCAUUUUUUAGUUGGGUUAUUUGUCUUUUUGUUGUUAAGCUAUAAGAACCUGGAAGUCUGUCAAAAACACCCAUAGAGAAGCCCCAUGUUUAAUUCCAUCAGAACACUGGAUUGUACCUGGGUAUCGAUGCGUUUUAAAUUUCCCAACGUGCCAUCAGAGUUGAAAAUCACUGGUGUAAUGGCCAAGCAGACACAGACACGCUGGGAAUGUUUGCUGAGUUCAUGAUCUCAUCCAACUGCCUUCAGGACUUACGUGUCUGCUCAUCAUCAGACAUUAAGUGCCAAAUGUGGUGCUCAAGGGAGGAAAGGAGAAAACCAAGAUUUAGGUGAAGAUGAGCAAGACACGAUUGUUGCUGUGUUCGAUGGCUCGGCUAGUGAGAAGCUGGCCCCUAAACAAAUAAGUACAAUACAAUGUCUGAAGUGCGCAAGACAAAGGAGGACCACGGGUCAAGGGGACCCCUAAAAGGAGUAACUCCACACCUUCCUGAGUGUACAGUGUCGAAUGUGGUUUCGUGGUCACCCGGCCCUCAGAGGUGGUCCCCUUGUAGCGCCCUAGGGAAGCUUGUUAAAAAUGUGGGUUCUAAGGCCCCACCCGAGACCUAACAAGUGGUUAUGAACCCCAGGUGGUUCAUAAGUACUUUGAAGUUGGAUAUGCACUGAUCUAACUGAUGUUAAUUAAGAAGCAUCCAGAAAGUCCACCCACAUAAAACAAAAUAAAACAAAAUUUAAAAUUCUACCACAGUGAGGUAUGGGGUCAUUAAAUUGUUCCUUUAAGUAACUGACUUGCUUUCUUAAAAUGACGCACUUGAAGUAAGUUGGAGUCAUACAUCUCUUGGCAUGAAUUUGCUUAUCAGGAUGUUGUAGUCUUCAUCAUUCUCUUUCUGAAGAUUUUUCUACCAGCCAAAUUACUAAGGAACAGGAGUUGGGACUAAAUUGGAGGUAACAUUGGCAUUUGGGGCACAAGCACAGAUAAACUGAAGUGCAGAAGAUGGUUUCACAAUUUCUCUUAAAACCAGCUCUUGCUCACACUUUUAUACCAGAUUUGUAGAGGCAAGUGGCUCUGCAAUGCAAUGCAUUAUCCUGUCUACCUCUAUUCACCAUUUAACACAGUGAGGAAAACCUGAUGUGGCCUCACAGAGACCUGGAGGAAUCCCAGCACCACCUACAGCUCAGACCUUUGACAGUUCCUCAGCAAAACAUAACAAUUUAGUGUCUCUAAUAAAUUAAUUUUUUUUUGCCUUUGCUUUCAAAAAGAAAACAAAAACAAAAACAAGAAUCCUGUCAGUCACCUCCACGACUUUGGGUGGAAAGAAGCUCACAGAAGGAGAGAAGGCAGCAGGGACAUUCCCUUGGACCACUUACUAGAUUCAAAACCUCUAGUAAGUGCCACUGUGCUGUAAAAUCUUGGCUAAGUCACUUGUUUUUUUCUGUGCUUCAUUUUUCCUGUAUUAAUUAUUUCCCACCUUUCGUACUGGAAUCACAGGACCAUUCAUUAAACCAUUA